CCUACGGGAGGCAGCAGUAGGGAAUUUUGCUCAAUGGGCGAAAGCCUGACGCAGCAACGCCGCGUGAUCGAGACGCCCUUCGCGGUUUAAAGAUCUGUCAUUUGGGACGAAACUUGACGUUACCCACAGAGCAAUCACCGGCUAACUCCGUUCCAGCAGCCGCGGUAAUACGGGGGGUGCAGGCGUUGUCCGGAAUCAUUGGGCGUAAAGAGUUCGUAGUCGGCACGUAAAGUCUGGUGUUAAAGGCAGAGGCUCAACUUCUGUACGGCACUGGAUACUUGCGAGCUAGAAUGCGGUAGAGGUAGAGGGAAUUCCUGGUGUAGCGGUGAAAUGCUUAGAUAUGAGGAGGAACAUCGGUGGCGUAGGCGCUUUACUGGGCCGUAAUUGACGCUGAGGAACGAAAGCCAGGGUAGCAAAUGGGAUUAGAUACCCCGGUAGUC
rnacentral:rRNA from 1 species